AUGAAGUUCCUACCAUCCGUGCAUCUGCCUUGUCACCCAUGGAUGGCCAUGGUUAUCCUCCCUCUCCUCCUCCUCCUCGUGCCACUCGCCGCUGCUCAAUGGUCAUCCUGCAGCAAGAGCGACGACUAUAAAUCUAAUAGCACCUAUGAAGCCAACCUCAGUCUCCUCUCUUCAACCCUCCCGAAGAAAGCAGCGUCCAGCACCACCCUCUUUGCAACCGGCAUCAUGGGCAAUGUUCCGGACAUUGUCUACGCCCUCACGCUCUGCCGCGGGGACUCUAACGCCUCCGCCUGCGAGAGCUGUGUAACUACCGCGUUUCAGGACCUCCUGCGGCUCUGCCCGUACAAAAAGAAUGCUGCCGUGUACUACGAUCCGUGCAUGCUCAAGUUCUCGAACAAGAAUUUUCUCGCCACCACCACCGUCAAUGAUCCACUCUUCAUCGUGAACACUAAGAACUUCACGACGAACGCCGACAUCACCCAGCGAUUAUUGUUCACGCUUAUCAACAGCACGGCUCAAUUAGCCGCGAAUAGCUUGAGGAGGUUCACUACCUCGCGCUUAGAUGUUGGUUCCUCCCCAACGUUGUACUGUCUUAUGCAGUGCAUGCCCGAUCUGAUUCCCCACGACUGCGAGUCCUGCUUCCAGGAUAUCUUGAAUAGUACGCUCGAGUACCUGGGUGGUAAGCAAGGUGGCCGAGUUCUGGGGACACGGUGUUACAUGAGGUACGAGAUGUACCCCUUCUUCCAAGGGGACCCUACGCUGCGUAUUAUCAACUUGGCCCCUCAUGUUCCGACGAUCAACAACACUACGACACCAGCUACCGUGUACCCACAAUCGCAGCCACCAGAUGCAGCACCACCCCCGGAGGGAAAAGUGACCGUCCAAGAACAUAACGGACGCAAAUCACACAAGAGGGCGCUGUGGAUUAUUGUUGUGGUGGCUACACUGCUGUCAAUACUUAUGUGCUUUAUCUGUUUCAUUGUAUGGAAGAGAAGAAAAGGAAAGGUAAGCAUAAACAAUCAAGCUGCCACGAAUAGGCCGGAAGAAUAUGCACUGGUUUGGAGAUUGGAGGAGAGGAGUUCAGAGUUCACACUCUUUGACUUUCCUGAGAUAUUGCAAGCUACACACAACUUUUCCAAAGAAAAUCUACUUGGGCAAGGUGGUUUUGGCCCUGUCUACAAGGGCCAACUACCAGAUGGAAUGGAGAUUGCUGUUAAAAGGCUUGCCUCACAUUCAGGACAGGGUUUCACAGAAUUCAAGAAUGAAGUUGAACUUAUUGCAAAACUACAACAUAAUAAUCUGGUAAAGCUUUUGGGAUGUUGCAUUCAGGGAGAGGAAAAACUAUUGGUGUAUGAGUAUUUUCCAAAUAAGAGCUUGGACUUCUUUAUAUUUGAUGAAAACAGAACAACUUUGGUUGAUUGGGAAAAAAGACGAGUCAUAAUCGAAGGGAUAGCCCAAGGUCUUCUAUAUCUUCACAAGCACUCUCGAUUGCGCAUCAUACACAGAGAUCUCAAGGCCAGCAACAUUCUCUUGGACCAGGACAUGAAUCCUAAAAUUUCUGAUUUUGGCCUAGCAAAAAUUUUCAGCUCCAAUGACACUCAAGGAAGCACAAAGAGGGUAGUGGGAACAUAUGGUUAUAUGUCUCCGAAGUAUGCAUCUGAAGGCAUUUACUCAAUCAAAUCCGACGUUUUCAGCUUUGGUGUGUUGCUUCUUGAGAUCCUUAGUGGAAAAAGGAAUUCUCGUUUCCAUCAAUGCGAAGACUUUCUUAAUCUUCUUGGAUAUUCAUGGCAUCUCUGGGAAGGAGGAAGUUGGCUUAAGCUUCUAGAUGUAUCAAUUGUUACAGAGGUCCAUACAACAGAGGCUAGAAGGUACAUUAACAUUGCACUGAUGUGUGUACAAGAGAGUGCGGAUGAUCGACCCACCAUGUCAGAUGUUGUUGCGAUGUUAAACAGUGAGAGUGUUAUUAUUCCAGAGCCUAAUCCUCCUGCAUAUGUCAACGUAAGAGUAUCUAAGGUACACCAAUCAGCUAGUGUUGUUGUUCCAUGCAGUAAUAAUGAUGUAACCAUCACCGAGGAGCCUGAUGGGAGAUAG
rnacentral:rRNA from 1 species